rnacentral:rRNA from 1 species
UACGUAGGGGGCAAGCGUUGUCCGGAAUCAUUGGGCGUAAAGAGCGUGUAGGCGGCUUGGUAAGUCCGUUCUGAAAGCCCGGGGCUCAACCCCGGGAGGCGGAUGGAUACUGCUGAGCUCGAGUCCGGAAGAGGCGAGUGGAAUUCCUGGUGUAGAGGUGAAAUUCGUAGAUAUUCGGAAGAACACCAGUGGCGAAGGCGACUCACUGGACAUGUAUUGACGCUGAGGUGCGAAAGCGUGGGGAGCAAUCCGG